rnacentral:rRNA from 1 species
AUUGAACGCUGGCGGCAGGCCUAACACAUGCAAGUCGAACGAGUGGCGGACGGGUGAGUAAUGUCUGGGAAACUGCCCGAUGGAGGGGGAUAACUACUGGAAACGGUAGCUAAUACCGCAUACCAUCGGAUGUGCCCAGAUGGGAUUAGCUUGUAGGUGAGGUAACGGCUCACCUAGGCGACGAUCCCUAGCUGGUCUGAGAGGAUGACCAGCAGCACUGGAACGGGGACAGGGUCGAGGCGCCUGAGGGAGGGAGCAGGGGGGAAUAUUGCAAAAUGGGCGCAAGCCUGAUGCAGCCAUGCCGCGUGGAUUAAGAAGGCCUUCGGGUUGUAAAGUACUUUCAGCGGGGAGGCGUUACCCGCAGAAGAAGCACCGGCUAACUCCGUGCCAGCAGCCGCGGUAAUAC